rnacentral:rRNA from 1 species
UAGUAACGGCGAGUGAAGCGGCAACAGCUCAAAUUUGAAAGCUGGCCUUCGGGUCCGCAUUGUAAUUUGUAGAGGAUGCUUUGGGGCAGCCGCCUGUCUAAGUUCCUUGGAACAGGACGUCAUAGAGGGUGAGAAUCCCGUAUGUGACAGGACAUGGCACCCUAUGUAAAGCUCCUUCGACGAGUCGAGUUGUUUGGGAAUGCAGCUCUAAAUGGGAGGUAAAUUUCUUCUAAAGCUAAAUAUUGGCGAGAGACCGAUAGCGCACAAGUAGAGUGAUCGAAAGAUGAAAAGCACUUUGGAAAGAGAGUUAAAAAGCACGUGAAAUUGUUGAAAGGGAAGCGCUUGCAAUCAGACUUGUUUAAACUGUUCGGCCGGUCUUCUGACCGGUUUACUCAGUUUGGACAGGCCAGCAUCAGUUUCGGCGGCCGGAUAAAGGCUCUGGGAAUGUGGCCUCCACUUCGGUGGAGGUGUUGUAGCCCAGGGUGUAAUACGGCCAGCCGGGAGUGAGGUCCGCUUC